rnacentral:pre_miRNA from 1 species
GUUUGCAUGUGUAUAGAUAGUGCUCAGCACUAAGAACAGGUCUGUGUCCUAGUAUGUGGAUAGUGUUCAGCACCAAGGACAGGUCUGUUUGUCU